UUAUACCGCAGGCUACGUUCACCUCCUCCCGAGCAACGCCUGCGAGGAAGCGCCUCGCUCUUCUCCUCCCAGAGUAAGCAGGCGCCGAUCAUAGAGACGGUCAUGCUCACCUCCUCCCGGGCAUGACCGUUUUU
rnacentral:sRNA from 17 species